CCUAAUACAUGCAAGUCGUACGCUUCUUUUUCCACCGGAGCUUGCUCCACCGGAAAAAGAAGAGUGGCGAACGGGUGAGUAACACGUGGGUAACCUGCCCAUCAGAAGGGGAUAACACUUGGAAACAGGUGCUAAUACCGUAUAACAAUCGAAACCGCAUGGUUUUGAUUUGAAAGGCGCUUUCGGGUGUCGCUGAUGGAUGGACCCGCGGUGCAUUAGCUAGUUGGUGAGGUAACGGCUCACCAAGGCCACGAUGCAUAGCCGACCUGAGAGGGUGAUCGGCCACAUUGGGACUGAGACACGGCCCAAACUCCUACGGGAGGCAGCAGUAGGGAAUCUUCGGCAAUGGACGAAAGUCUGACCGAGCAACGCCGCGUGAGUGAAGAAGGUUUUCGGAUCGUAAAACUCUGUUGUUAGAGAAGAACAAGGAUGAGAGUAACUGUUCAUCCCUUGACGGUAUCUAACCAGAAAGCCACGGCUAACUACGUGCCAGCAGCCGCGGUAAUACGUAGGUGGCAAGCGUUGUCCGGAUUUAUUGGGCGUAAAGCGAGCGCAGGCGGUUUCUUAAGUCUGAUGUGAAAGCCCCCGGCUCAACCGGGGAGGGUCAUUGGAAACUGGGAGACUUGAGUGCAGAAGAGGAGAGUGGAAUUCCAUGUGUAGCGGUGAAAUGCGUAGAUAUAUGGAGGAACACCAGUGGCGAAGGCGGCUCUCUGGUCUGUAACUGACGCUGAGGCUCGAAAGCGUGGGGAGCAAACAGGAUUAGAUACCCUGGUAGUCCACGCCGUAAACGAUGAGUGCUAAGUGUUGGAGGGUUUCCGCCCUUCAGUGCUGCAGCUAACGCAUUAAGCACUCCGCCUGGGGAGUACGACCGCAAGGUUGAAACUCAAAGGAAUUGACGGGGGCCCGCACAAGCGGUGGAGCAUGUGGUUUAAUUCGAAGCAACGCGAAGAACCUUACCAGGUCUUGACAUCCUUUGACCACUCUAGAGAUAGAGCUUCCCCUUCGGGGGCAAAGUGACAGGUGGUGCAUGGUUGUCGUCAGCUCGUGUCGUGAGAUGUUGGGUUAAGUCCCGCAACGAGCGCAACCCUUAUUGUUAGUUGCCAUCAUUUAGUUGGGCACUCUAGCAAGACUGCCGGUGACAAACCGGAGGAAGGUGGGGAUGACGUCAAAUCAUCAUGCCCCUUAUGACCUGGGCUACACACGUGCUACAAUGGGAAGUACAACGAGUCGCGAAGUCGCGAGGCUAAGCUAAUCUCUUAAAGCUUCUCUCAGUUCGGAUUGUAGGCUGCAACUCGCCUACAUGAAGCCGGAAUCGCUAGUAAUCGCGGAUCAGCACGCCGCGGUGAAUACGUUCCCGGGCCUUGUACACACCGCCCGUCACACCACGAGAGUUUGUAACACCCGAAGUCGGUGAGGUAACCUUUUGGAGCCAGCCGCCUAAGG
rnacentral:rRNA from 1 species